rnacentral:rRNA from 1 species
CUCUGUGACUCCUACGGGAGGCAGCAGUGGGGAAUAUUGCACAAUGGGGGAAACCCCUGAUGCAGCCAUGCCGCGUGUGUGAAGAAGGCCUUCGGGUUGUAAAGCACUUUCAGUAGGGAGGAAGGUAGUGUAGUUAACACCUGCAUUAUUUGACGUUACCUACAGAAGAAGCACCGGCUAACUCCGUGCCAGCAGCCGCGGUAAUACGGAGGGUGCGAGCGUUAAUCGGAAUUACUGGGCGUAAAGCGCAUGCAGGCGGCCUGUUAAGUCAGAUGUGAAAGCCCGGGGCUUAACCUCGGAAUUGCAUUUGAAACUGGCAGGCUAGAGUCUUGUAGAGGGGGUAGAAUUUCAGGUGUAGCGGUGAAAUGCGUAGAGAUCUGAAGGAAUACCAGUGGCGAAGGCGGCCCCCUCGGACAAAGACUGACGCUCAGAUGCGAAAGCGUGGGGAGCAAACAGGAUUAGAUACCCUGGUGA